rnacentral:lncRNA from 1 species
UGUCGAGGGCCGAGUACAUCAUACGGUUGAUCCAUGCGCUGAUCCUGUUUCCGGAUCGGUUGAACCUAAUAAAAAGAACAAAUUAUUAAUAAUGAAUCAAAUUUUAAUGAAAAAAAUACGUUUAAUUACCAUGUUUAACCCCGUCCAUGUGGAUACGAAGUGAGAUAGGGAAGAUGGUCACGACCGGGCUGUCGAACCAACUCC